CAGUAGUAUAGGGAAUGAGGGUUCUAGACCACUUUUUCGGCCCGCGAUCUCACCCAACUUCCGGUCAGCGGUUUCCAUAUUUUUCCCUCAAAAACGCGGGCUCAUAUUUUUCUAGACCAUUUUUCUAUUAUUUUUGGUAUUAUUUUUUCUAUUAUUUUUGGCAUUAUUUUUUCUAUUAUUUUUGGCGUUAUUUUUUCUAUUAUUUUUGGCAUUAUUUUUUCUAUUAUUUUUCUAUUAUUUUUCAUCAUUAUUUUUUCAACAUUAUUUAACAAUUUACUUUUCCUAUUGAGUGAUGUCCGUACGCGUAACUUGUAACACCAUCUUCAAGUAGGUAUCUUUUAUCAUCGAAACAGCUGAGUGUAAUUUUCUUCAGUUCGUAAGUUCCGAUUUUAUGCUUGAUGCUUCUGAUCGUGUUCAUCUUAUGUCUCAUCCUACCUUUGGUCUUGAUUACGUUCUUAAAGUUUUCGUGAGUGAGUUUGUUUCUGAUCGCGUACUUUUUCACACCUUUCGCUGUCAUUCCACCUCCGCCGCUCUCUUUUACGUAGGAGUACAUCUUUGACCUUAACCCUACGAAUUCAAUCACUGGUACUCCUUCAGCUUCAUCCUUAAACUUUCCAAUUACCUUCUUAUUGUGAGCUGAGUAAUAUGGAGAAUCUUUCGGAUAAUCUGAGUUGUCCCAGCAGUCCUUCUCCUGACCUAUCCUCUUGAAGUCCUCAUACACGUCAUCAGUCUUAAUCUCGUACAUUAGACUUUCAGUGUCUGUGAAUAGAAGCUUCGACUUAUUACCGUACUCCUUCUUGAUUGUGUUGUAAUGGAAGUCGUACAUUAAAGUCUUGGAUAAGUCUAGUAUACUCAUUCCCACAUAGCACGGUUUAUUCAGAGUUAGAACUUCCUUCAUUCUCUUUACCACAAUUAAGUUCUCAUUCAUAAUCCUAUGCGAUUGGAAGCACGGCGACGCUGUAAGUUUUAGGAGGU
rnacentral:lncRNA from 1 species